GGGGCUGUGGCUCAUGGGGAGAGCCUCUGCUUUGGAUGCAGAAGGUCCCAGGUUCAAUCCCUGGCAUCUCCA